UCGAAGGUAGCAUAAUCAGUAGUCUUUUAAUUGAAGGCUGGAAUGAAUGAUUGGACGAAAUAUUAACUGUUUCAUAAAAAAUUAAUAUAAAAUUUUAUUUUUUAGUAAAAAAGCUAAAAUUUAUUUAAAAGACGAGAAGACCCUAUAAAUCUUUAUAUUUAUUUUAUUAUAAUUUUUUAGUUUUUGUUUGUUAUGAUAAUUAUUAAUAUUUUAUUGGGGUGAUAUUAAAAUUUAAUAAACUUUUAAUAUUUAAAAUCAUUUAUUUAUGAAUAAUUGAUCCAUUAUUAGUGAUUAAAAGAUUAAGUUACUUUAGGGAUAACAGCGUAAUUUUUUUGGAGAGUUCAUAUCGAUAAAAAAGAUUGCGACCUCGAUGUUGGAUUAA
rnacentral:rRNA from 1 species